rnacentral:rRNA from 1 species
UACGUAGGGGGCAAGCGUUGUCCGGAAUCAUUGGGCGUAAAGCGCGCGUAGGCGGCCCGGUAAGUCCGCUGUAAAAGUCCAGGGCUCAACCCUGGAAAGCCGGUGGAUACUGUCGGGCUAGAGUCCGGAAGAGGCGAGUGGAAUUCCUGGGUGUAGCGGUGGAAUGCGCAGAUAUCAGGAGGAACACCAACGGCGAAGGCAGCUCGCUAGGACGGUAACUGACGCUGAGACGCGAAAGCGUGGGGAGCAAACGG